GUUGAGUCCUUGUUGGUCGGUGGC
rnacentral:siRNA from 1 species